GCGGGCGUGGCGAAACUGGCACACGCGCCAGCCUUAGGAGCUGGUGAGCUUACGCUCUUGGGGGUUCAAAUCCCUCCGCCCGCA
rnacentral:tRNA from 1 species